rnacentral:rRNA from 1 species
UACGAAGGGGGCGAGCGUUGUCCGGAAUCAUUGGGCGUAAAGCGCGCGUAGGCGGCCCGGUAAGUCCGCUGUAAAAGUCCAGGGCUCAACCCUGGAAAGCCGGUGGAUACUGUCGGGCUAGAGUCCGGAAGAGGCGAGUGGAAUUCCUGGUGUAGCGGUGGAAUGCGCAGAUAUCAGGAAGAACACCCGUGGCUAAGGCGGCUCUCUAGUACGUGACUGACGCUGAGACGCGAAAGCGUGGGGAGCGAACAGG